GUGUCAGCAGCCGCGGUAAUACGGAGGGGGCGAGCGUUAUUCGGAAUUAUUGGGCGUAAAGGGCGCGUAGGCGGCCCGCUAAGUCAAAGGUGAAAUCCCUCGGCUCAACUGAGGAACUGCCUUUGAGACUGUCGGGCUCGAGGCCGGGAGGGGGUAGCGGAAUUCCCAGUGUAGCGGUGAAAUGCGUAGAUAUUGGGAGGAACACCAGUGGCGAAGGCGGCUACCUGGACCGGUUCUGACGCUGAUGCGCGAAAGCGUGGGUAGCAAACAGGAUUAGAAACCCUUGUAGUCC
rnacentral:rRNA from 1 species